UACGAAGGGGGCUAGCGUUGUUCGGAAUCACUGGGCGUAAAGGGCGCGUAGGCGGCUUUGUAAGUCGGGGGUGAAAGCCUGUGGCUCAACCACAGAAUUGCCCUCGAUACUGCAUGGCUUGAGACCGGAAGAGGUAAGUGGAACUGCGAGUGUAGAGGUGAAAUUCGUAGAUAUUCGCAAGAACACCCGUGGCUAAGGCGGCUCUCUAGUACGGUACGUGACGCUGAGACGCGAAAGCGUGGGGAGCGAACGAGG
rnacentral:rRNA from 1 species